GGGGGUAGCGCAGGAUUUUGGGCUGUGUCCCCGGCGCCCUGUGCUCCGGGGCCUGUGCUGUUGGAAUCGCGCUCCGGGCCAAGCAGCCCCCU
rnacentral:pre_miRNA from 1 species